GGUAUAGAAAUAAUUCGUGUAGGUGGCAGGCUGUCUAGGGCCAAUGUACCAUUUGACACCAAACACCCCAUGCUUUUACCAAAUAAUCAUAUUGUUGUAAAAUCAUUGUUUGAAUAUACGCAUCGAAGCAACAUGCAUGUCGGAGCACAAGCAUUAUGUGCUUUUGUGCGACAGCGUUUUUGGGUCAUCAAUGCUAGAAAACUAGCUCGCAGCACGAUAAGGAGUUGCAUUGCAUGUUUUCGCCAACGUCCAAUAUUAGCUACGCAAAUUAUGGGUUCCUUACCAGCAAGCCGAGUGCAGCAAGGAGUGAAGGCCUUUGAACGUACUGGACUCGACUACGCUGGACCGCUAUGGAUGCACUUCAACCAAAGAGGACGGCGGCCUAUCAAGGUUUAUCUGUGCGUUUUUGUGUGCUUUUUGAGCAAGGCUUGCCAUCUAGAGCUUGUAUCAGACCUGAGCACCAACGCAUUUAUAGCCGCACUCAAACGAUUUUUUGCUCGGCGUGGGAUCAGCGCAGAGCUGUUCUGUGACAAUGCCACCAAUUUUGUUGGUGCUUCACGGGAGCUGAAGGCAAUAGCGGAUUUGAUCUGGAAUGACAGUGGCAAGCACCAAAUUGUGGAUCAGUGCAGCCAACUCGAUGUCAAUUUCCAUUUUAUCCCACCUCGAUCGCCGCAUUUUGGAGGACUAUGGGAGAGCGCAGUAAAGGUAGCGAAG
rnacentral:lncRNA from 1 species